rnacentral:rRNA from 1 species
CGCGUGUACUGGUCCGGCCGGGCCUUUCCUUCUGGAGAUCCCCAUGCCCUUCACUGGGUGUGUGGGGGAACCAGGACUUUUACUUUGAAAAAAUUAGAGUGUUCAAAGCAGGCCUUUGCUCGAAUACGUUAGCAUGGAAUAAUAGAAUAGGACGUGCGGUCCUAUUUUGUUGGUUUCUAGGACCGCUGUAAUGAUUAAUAGGGAUAGUCGGGGGCAUCAGUAUUCAAUUGUCAGAGGUGAAAUUCUUGGAUUUAUUGAAGACUAACUACUGCGAAAGCAUUUGCCAAGGAUGUUUUCAUUAAUCAGUGAACGAAAGUUAGGGGAUCGAAAACAAUCAGAUACCGUCGUAGUCUUACCGUAAACUAUGCCGACUAGGGAUCGGGCGAUGUUUUUUUCUUGACUCGCUCGGCCCCUUAGAGAAAUCAAAGUUUUUGUGUUCUGGGGGGAGUAUGGUCGCAAGGCUGAAACUUAAAGAAAUUGACGGAAGGGCCCCCCCAGGCGGGGAGCCUGCGGCUUAAUUUGACUCAACACGGGGAAACUCCCCAGGUCCAGAUGAAAUAAGGAUUGACAGAUUGAGAGCUCUUUCUUGAUUUUUCAGGUGGUGGUGCAUGGCCGUUCUUAGUUGGUGGAGUGAUUUGUCUGCUUAAUUGCGAUAACGAACGAGACCUUAACCUGCUAAAUAGCCAGGCUAGCUUUGGCUGGUCGCCGGCUUCUUAGAGGGACUAUCGG